UGGGGAAUAUUGGGCAAUGGGCGCAAGCCUGACCCAGCCAUGCCGCGUGAGUGAUGAAGGCCUUCGGGUCGUAAAGCUCUGUGGGGAGGGACGAAACAGGACGGGGAUAAUACCCCCGGCCCUUGACGGUACCUCCUUAGCAAGCACCGGCUAACUCCGUGCCAGCAGCCGCGGUAAUACGGAGGGUGCAAACGUUGCUCGGAAUCAUUGGGCGUAAAGCGCACGUAGGCGGCCCGCUAAGUCGGAUGUGAAAGCCCUCGGCUCAACCGAGGAAGUGCACCCGAAACUGACGGGCUUGAGUAUGGAAGAGGGUCGCGGAAUUCCCGGUGUAGAGGUGAAAUUCGUAGAUAUCGGGAGGAACACCAGUGGCGAAGGCGGCGACCUGGGCCAAUACUGACGCUGAGGUGCGAAAGCGUGGGGAGCAAACAGGAUUAGAUACCCCGGUAGUCC
rnacentral:rRNA from 1 species